UUGGGGUCUAUGAAAUACCUGUUGCAUCAAAGGUCUGAGGCUCGGACUAGCUGAUCAUAGUAGGUAUGUCACCCAUGUUAGUGAACCCUGGGAUGUCAUAUCCAUGCCCACCAGCCUCAAAAACUCUUCGAUUAUAGCCGCCACCAACGUAACCUUUUUGGAAAUUUGGUUAGCAAUAUCUUUGAUUAGUCCUAUAUCUGUCGUGGUCUUUGGCCUUAAGAACUGAUCAAUCCCCAGGAGCUCUGGCACUCCCGCAUCCAAAUAGAUCUGUGUCAACAUAAAGUUU
rnacentral:lncRNA from 1 species